AAUCCAUUGGGUUUUAUGUUUAUAAUCAGCACUUCAUUUUUAUGACUUAAUUUUCUUAGGCACAACAAGAUAGUGGGUGGUUGGAGUGCUUUGAAUUGGUGAUUCAAUCUGGCCUGAAUCGUAGUAUCAGAGAAUCAUAGAAUGGCCUGGGUUGAAAAGGAUCACAAUGCUCAUCUCAUUUCAACCCCCCUGCUAUGUGCAGGGUCGCCAGUCACCAGACCAGGCUGCCUAGAGCCACAUCCAGCCUGGCCUUGAAUACCUCCAGGGAUGGGGCAUCCACAACCUCCCUGGGCAACCUGUUCCAGUGCAUCACCACCCUCUCCUACAGCUAGCAUGCUGAAUAAGGAAUUAUUAUCUUCCUGAAUAUUGACAUAUAACAGCUUUCCCAGAAAAAAAAAUGUGGACAUUUCAGGAAAAUAAUUGUUUCCUGACAUUCUCAUAACUAAAUGUUUCAGUGAACACAACUCAUACUAAAUAUUUCAGAACUCUAUUGAAAGACUCAGAAUAACUUAUUUUACUUUUGUCUCCAAUUUUGCCCCUUCAUCUGAACAUGCAGAUUAAUUCUGAACAAAGUUGAACAUAGAAGAUUUAAAGUUUAGUAUUCCCUGCACAGCAUACACACUACAAGCAAUCUAGAUCUGCACUGAAAACAACAGAAAGCUUGAUUAACAAAAUAUCACAUAGAACUACCUUUAAAAACUUACAAACCAAAAACCAUUGUCAAGUUCAGUAAAGCACCAAGGACCUUUCAGAGUGGCUGAUGAAAAAGUUCAUGAGAAGGAAUGACACCUUCAAAGAUUUUACCAUUCAAAUUCAUCCUUAUUAUCUUCCUUAAAUUUAUCUUGAGUAUGAAUGUAUAUAUUUUUAUAAUCUGUAUCAAAUUUAACAUUCAGACAACCUUAAUUAUACAUUGAAGUGAAGGUGCCAUUCCUGCAAACUCCUGGACAAAUCACUUCGGCCAAUGUAAGAGACAAAUUGAUACAGAAAGUAUAAAUGCAAAUUUAUUUUAUGGGCAAAACAAAUGAUCCUAAAUUGUUCCUUUCUGUAACAGUGACUGAGAAUUAAGCAGAACUGAGAUAAUGAAGUUAACCUGAUGCUCCAUAUUGUCUUACCAAGACAUAAAUGACAUUGCAAAUGCAAAAUUAUAAACAAAGCCAGGAACAGCAGGACAACUACUUUUCAUCAUUUAACAUGAUAUACAAAAAUUCUUAUCUCAGAGGGAGGAGAUAAUAAUAGAAGACAAGAGGAAAUGUCUUAACUUAAAAUUUUGGUGCAAACCAUGGCCUGGAGGGUACUUAGCAUCAAAAAGAGCUAAAAAGAAAAGAACAGACAUCUUCAAAUCUAAUCCUGUCUACUCUAGCUUCCUCAGGGAUACUAUUUACAUUGACCAGAAAGUCAUGUAAUUUCUACGUAUUGCAGGUAUUUCUCUGCACAUAUUUCUUUGGGGAAAAAAAACCAAAAAACAAAGGUUGUUAACACUGAACUUCACAGAGAAUGGUGGAGCCUUACUGAUUGGUUAACCUCUCUGAGAUACUUAGAUGAAAGAGGGUGUUUGAUUGCCAAAAAGCAUUAGAGCUUCACAGUGACUGCACUGUACAAGGCAGAAGAAAGCCGCUGAAAGCCACACAGGUGUUCAUCGGUUUCUGAUUAUUUAUGGAAGAAAGGAAAUAUGUUCUACAGAGUUAAGCUGCAAAAGCUGCAGAUUCAAGGAAUGUGAUAGUCAGAAUUUUUAUAAGGACAAGUGCUUCUUGAUUUCUUUCUCUGAAGAGUUAUUUUCUGCCUUAACCUAUGACUCCCAUGGCUGGAACAGCAUGUAGAGCAGCAAGUAAAUGCUCACCUCCCACCUGCCAGCCUAUCCCCUCCUUCAAUCACAUGAAAACCUGAAGGUAAAAUGAAACCUUUUAAAGUAUUCCUAAACAUAUGCUCUGUAUUAUGGCUCUUUUAAGUUGAAAUCAUGGAAACUACUGGAAGCUUCACUCUCAAGUAUGUCUGCUAAAAACAAGACCACAUUUUCUUAGACAGAGUUCCAAAAACCUACACACUAACAUUUGAACAGAUGUCUUCCUUUCUUGUGGGAAUUCUAUCUUCAUAAAUCUUACGGUAGCAUAUUGUGAGAACCAGGGAUGUUGAAGACAUUGAUAUGGCCUCCUUUGUCCCUGGGGUUGUACUGGACAAGUGAGGAUGUACUAAGCACAGCAUACUGGAAAGAAUCAGAUCACAGAGGCAGGCAAUAAGAUACAGAUGUCUGGCUGGUGGCCAUGACUCUCUGAAAAGAUCCUACAGUGAGGAAUGACGAGGAAGACAAAACAACCUGACAAGCCAUGAACAAACUCCCUAUUCUCCUUUGGACACAAGUAUAAAGGAUGAUGCAAAGACAUCUUCCACACUGUUUUAGCAAUAAAGCAUAGAUGAUGUAUACCCAGAUAUAAACAAGUAAAGUUUGCUGCUUUUAAUCACCUGCUGUGUGAUAGCUCUACCAAAGGCUGGCAGUCACAACCUAGUCCACCAAAUUAACUUUUCCCACAGAGCCUGGAAACGUAUAUGAACACAGAAUUAGGUUCAUCUUUUGUAUUUUUAACAAUGUGAUUUUCAAUAUAAGAAUAUAACAAUCAGGCUUCCUAGAGUUUUCUUGCAUAACUAGAUGAUCUUUAGGGUCCCUUCCAAUGCAAGCGUGUCCGCAGUUCCAUGAUUCUCUACAUCAACCCUUAGUUCUUCAGUCUCAAAACUGUUUGGUAAAUUACGGUAAAAAAAUCAGCACUAGAGAACUGAUGAGGUGAUACACUGGGAUAACCAGAAAGAAGCACUGUGCUGUAGAGUGGCAGUGAUCACUAGUAUGCAUAUUGCAGUGAUUCUAGACCCCCAAGCUGUGGUUAUGAUGCUGUUGCUGCAAGAUCCAUAACUACACAUAAGAAAAGACGAGUUUGCAAUUUAAUUGCACGACCUCAUUGUAAAAGUGAGUAGGAUGACACAAAACUACAACACUACGCAGAGGGUUGGAUGUAGAAAAGUAAAAAUUUACAACAUAAGAUCUGUUCCAGCAGAGAAAAUCAUUACUUGCAGAAGUUCCAGAAAAUACUGCUUUAUCUCUCUCAAUCUCUCUCUCUCUCUCUCUAUCCACCUUCCUAUUUUAGUUCAAUGGGGAAUAUAGAUGCUGGCCUGCUCAUUCCCAACCACUUUCUAGACAACUCCCUCAACAUUAGACACAAAGUUGCUGGUCUAACAAAACAAAACAAAACAAAACAAA
ensembl:lncRNA